UAAUGCUGGGAUGUGAUGGGGAGCGAAAUUUAGUAGCGAAGUAGCUGAUUUCACACUGUCAAGAAAAGUCUCUAUCGAGGUUAAAGGUACCCGUACCGCAAACCGACACAGGUGGGUGAGGAGAGUAGCCUAAGGCCCGCGAGAGAACUGUUGUUAAGGAACUCGGCAAAAUGACCCCGUAACUUAGGGAUAAGGGGUGCCACCAUC
rnacentral:rRNA from 1 species